rnacentral:lncRNA from 10 species
AACAGAGAGAAUCAACAUUAAGCCCCAUUGGACUGGAUUCUGAAGAUGCUUGAGGACUUCCUGCCUUAGUCAGAUUUGGUUUGGAACUGGGGCAGGGCCAGGCCUGCAGGUGGAAGCAACAUCAGCCCCAGCUGUGGGUCCUUCUGACCUCUUUUUCUCUCUACCAGAGAACUGGCUAUUUUUACCUGUCAACUGAGAAGGAUGGAUAGAGAAAAGCAUCAUUACAAAAGUGAAAUGUGUGAAUUUUAUUCUGGCUUUGAACAUUGAGUAGACGAAGAAGACAAUUCCAGACGGAGGAAACUCCACAAGAAAUAUCAUGGAAAUUUGAAAGAACACAGUGGGCUUGGGAAGAGGUGCUUCCAAGACCAAGAUAACCAGGCAAUCAUAGUAGAUGCAUCAAUGCACCCUUGCCCAAGGGCCUAGACAAGAGGAGGAAGGAAAGGAGGAGCACGUGCACAAAGCUAAGGAGGUGAUUAACAACAUGAUACAGUAAGGACCAGCCAAUAUUAACUGAAUUUCUAAGCUGUGCCAGGACCUCCAUCAUCUCAUGGAAUCCCAAUGGCAUUCAAUGAAGCAGCCUUGGGAUUCUUCUAUUUCAUAAUGGAAUGAGAGAAAUGAGGCUCACAAAGGUUGGAUAACUUGCCUGAGGUCACACAGUUGACAUAUGGCAGAGCCGGGAUGUGAACACAUCUCCCUGCUUGAAAAUCUGGCUUCUCACCCGUAAAGGUAUUGUUUAGCUUCGCAUGAAUUUUAUCACCUUGCCUAGAACCAGCCACCAUCUGCCAGGGCUCCUGACUUUUUCUGAAAUGAAUAGACACUAAAGCCUGCUGGGGAAUUUCAUGGAAAUCAAGAUGACUCAACCCAGAGUCCAUUUCAAGGCUAGGAUGCUAGAGGACGCCAACAAAGGAGUAGGGAAGUGAAACGGAUCAGCUCACAUCCAAGCCCUUGCAUGAUCAAUCCUGCAGUAGGAGUGCUGCUCAGUUGGGACUCAUGAGAGCCCGGAAGAGGAAAAAGCAGCUCUAAGCAUAGCAAAGAAGCUGUUAUGGAAAAGACCCAAAUGUUAAAAUGGUGGACAUAGUAAAGUGAUUGGUUCUGCUUAGGGGAAUCUAGAUCCCCACAUUUUGACCUCCACUGGAGUCUCAGAAGAACAAGUGCCAGGGGGGCUUGCCACAGAGGCCAAGGCAGUGAAUGUCAGGCACAUCACAGUCCCCAAGAUGGGGAGAAGACUGAGAUGCAGGGUAACAACUGCAAUCCAUUCAUGGGAGCCAUGUUUAUCUUAAAUCAUUGACAGUGAGAUAAGGAUCAUGUCAGCCUUCAUACCUUUGAUGAUGAUCCCAGGCUGCAACAGUGACACAUAGAACUGGAUUCAGUAACUAACUACAGAUUCCAUCAACCAGGACUAGUAAAGUGAAAGGCAGAAAUUGGGAGGAGGGGUUUCUUUCUUGCUUAUAAAACUUUAUUUGGUUGUGUUGAGUAUGUGCAUGUAUGUAUGAAAUCCCAUAAAGCAGUCUUCUUAGGAACAAGCCAACAUGCCACAAUGUAGGAGAUCUUUGGAGCACUGGCCUAAAUGGCAGAGAGCUCAAGGGACUCUGCUUUGUACAAGGCAUGAUUUGUACCACCACCACUAUCCCUGUUUCAGAGCACUGUUGAAUUGUUCCAAACCUGGAUUUCUAUGUCAGCUCCCUGUCUAUAGUACUUGACUGAUAAAUGCUAGUUUCUGAAAUCUGCUUUGGUUCUAUAAUUUAUUAGACAGCUUUUUCUUCCCAUUUUAUUACUUGUUUUUACUGUCAUUGGUAUAUUAUCUCUUACAGUGAAAACAUUCAUAGGCUGAUUGAAGAGAAGAUCUGAAAUUAUUAGGCAGCAAGCAUACAAAACCCUUGCUUUAUAAAGAUAAUAUCUUAAAGGCCUAAUGUCUAUGGUUCAAAGCAGCCUGGAGAUGUUGGCUAAAUCUUCCAUCAUAGAGUCCUCAUGGGAUCUGGAAGCUCUGAUUUAUCUUCCUUCAGGCCCUAUAAGUUAGCUUUCCACAUCUGUAGGUUCCACAAUCAACCUUGGAUCAAAAACAUUUGAAA